GGAGGGUAUAGCUCAGUGGUAGAGUGUGUGCUUAGCAUGCAUAAGGCCCUGGGUUCAAUCCCCAGUACCUCCA
rnacentral:tRNA from 1 species